UGGCGAUAUUAUUGGGCCUAAAGCGUCCGUAGCUGGCCAGACAAGUCCGUUGGGAAAUCCACGCGCUCAACGCGUGGGCGUCCAGCGGAAACUGCCUGGCUUGGGGCCGGAGGACUCGAGGGGUACGUCCGGGGUAGGAGUGAGAUCCCGUAAUCCUGGACGGACCACCGGUGGCGAAAGCGCCUCGAGAGGACGGACCCGACAGUGAGGGACGAAAGCCAGGGUCUCGAACC
rnacentral:rRNA from 1 species